UACGUAGGGGGCAAGCGUUAAUCGGAAUUACUGGGCGUAAAGCGUGCGCAGGCGGCUUUGCAAGACAGAUGUGAAAUCCCCGGGCUUAACCUGGGAACUGCAUUUGUGACUGCAUGGCUAGAGUGCGGCAGAGGGGGAUGGAAUUCCGCGUGUAGCAGUGAAAUGCGUAGAUAUGCGGAGGAACACCGAUGGCGAAGGCAAUCCCCUGGGCCUGCACUGACGCUCAUGCACGAAAGCGUGGGGAGCAAACAGG
rnacentral:rRNA from 1 species